UACGUAGGGUGCGAGCGUUGUCCGGAUUUAUUGGGCGUAAAGAGCUUGUAGGCGGCUCGUCGCGUCGGGUGUGAAAACUUGCGGCUUAACCGCAAGCCUGCACCCGAUACGGGCGGGCUAGAGUUCGGCAGGGGAGACUGGAAUUCCUGGUGUAGCGGUGGAAUGCGCAGAUAUCAGGAGGAACACCGGUGGCGAAGGCGGGUCUCUGGGCCGAUACUGACGCUGAGACGCGAAAGCGUGGGGAGCGAACAGG
rnacentral:rRNA from 1 species